AUACGGAGGAUGCGAGCGUUAUCCGGAUUUAUUGGGUUUAAAGGGUGCGUAGGCGGGCUGGUAAGUCAGCGGUGAAACGCAGGUGCUCAACACCUGACCUGCCGUUGAAACUGCCGGUCUUGAAUGCGGAUGCUGUGGGAGGAAUGUGUGGUGUAGCGGUGAAAUGCAUAGAUAUCACACAGAACACCGAUUGCGAAGGCAUCUCACAAAUCCGUGAUUGACGCUGAGGCACGAAAGUGCGGGGAUCGAACAGGAUUAGAUACCCUGGUAGUCCGCACUGUAAACGAUGAUGACUCGCUGUCGGCGAUAGACAGUCGGUGGCCAAGCGAAAGCGAUAAGUCAUCCACCUGGGGAGUACGACCGCAAGGUUGAAACUCAAAGGAAUUGACGGGG
rnacentral:rRNA from 1 species